AUGAGCCCAUUCUCCGGCAGAACCAGAGUGACGCCUGUUCACACUAUAAAUAUGUAUGAAGUCAUGGUUCUUAAAAGACUUUCUUUUUUCCAGGGUAUUCCUUGGAAAGGAAAAAAAGAAAAAAAAGAAAAAGAAAGAAAGAAAGGAAAAAUACGGCCCUGUCCCAAGAGGCUGCUGCAUGGAGAUCUCAUUCACGCCGUCAAGAUCCAGCCUCCUUCGGAGAGCGGCAGCCUCCUCCGCGUGGCGGAAACCCGAGGAGGCACUGUGGGUGCCCUUCCACGGGCCUGUGUAGCGAAGGAAGCACAAACGCCUCCUUGUCACCCCCCGACCCUCCACCACCUUCUCCGAGCGCUCUCAGCCUGUCUCUUAGUAACAGAAAAAAAUGUACACCUCACCCCGCUACCACACUCAUGGGCGAGGAACUCCCAGAACGUGCGCUGUGCGCCUGGGGGCCCCGGGGGCCUACGCGCAGCCCCCACUCCCGCGCCCGCUCCUGACCCGGCAGCGGCGGCGCUGGAAGGGCUCGGGGCGGCCCUGCGGCAAGCCGGUCACCUGGCGCUCGAGCCCUGGUCUCCAGGACCACACGGGCUCAUCUCACGUCCCUUGGCAGCAGACGCAUUACCCAUCCCUUCAGCGCACCAAAACCCUCGUCCAUCCAGGCCCCGCAAGCCGGGUUCCUUCCAGGGGCCCCUGCAGGCCUCAAGGUGGCCCCUGCCGUGUCAGCCCCAACUGGCCCCAAGGAAAAGCUGAAGAUCCUUUGGCUCUCGCCCCCCGAAGUCUUGCUCCACAAAGAACAGGAGUCUCUGGUUUUGUGAAAAUGAGUCACAGGCUGCCUUGCCCGUGCCUAUCUGGGGAGGCCAGGGCUGCCAUGUAUGGUCCGAGCUUCGUGCCACCCACCUCUCCAUGUAAGUCGGCGUUCUCUGCCAGGACAGCCUGAGUCAUAAAACUCAGCACAUUCCUUAGGCGUUGGAUAGUCUUUCCUUGUUAUUACUUAGCCUUUGUUUUAGGCAGCACCUGGUUUCAUUUUAAAAACCCAAAUAAAAUAUCAUGGUCAGGCCUGGCGUAGGGUGGGGAGAUGGAAGAAAAAGAGAAAGAAGGGAACGAAGCCUAGGGUAGGGGUAGCAAGAAAGGGCUGUCACCCCCACAGGCAAGACCCAGAGCAGAACAGAGAGAGAAAGGCAGAGGGAAGAGCCUGGGGGAGAGGAUGUACUACAACUGAAUUGUUGGCUCCAAGUCCUUUUUGCAGUAUACGUAGGGCAAGUGCCGGCUGGGUCUCCUCCCCAAGUUAGGCCACAGUACCGAGAGGCCAGUGACCUUGAAGCCCCUACACCUUCUCAGUCUUAUCAAUACAUCUUUGAUGAGUUCUAAGAACUUUGCGAUUAUAACACUAUGAUUUUAUGAACCUGGCUGUUUCCUUUUUUUCUUGGACCACAAACCCCAAUCCAUGUGUUAAGGGAAUAUUUUCCCACAAGCUCAUGUUUGGUUUUUUUUUUUUUUUUUUCAGUGGUGGGUAGAGGAACGGGAGACAACAAAGAAAAAAAGAUGUAGACCUAACCACACAAAUGUUGCCGGUCGAACUCAACUUCUGUGGCCAGGUUAUUUUGUAAACUCAUCUGUAAAAUUGUUAACGCAGAGUUUCAGAUUUAAAACGGAAUUCUAAUAAGCAAUGCUUCGCAUACAGCAAAUACCGAAUGAAUGAAUGAAUGAAUGAAUGAAUGAAUGAUACCAGUUAACGGGAGAAUGGUAUUUUCUUGGAGGAGUAAAGCAUAUUAAUUACAGCAAAGCCCAGGACCAUAAGGUACUGGACUCGGAACUUAAACAGGGGCCUCUACCUCCCCAUGCCUAAGAUUCUCUAAACGAGGCUGGCAAAGGCCAAACUCCUGGAGGUUCCCGAGCGGCUCCAGGGCUGCAUUGUCAAUGCACGGCUUGGCGAGCUUAAUGGAAACCAUACGAAGGGAUCCCGGGAACCGGACCAGAUGGCUUCCUGGGAAUGUAUUUAGCCUAACCUGGGCUAAAGAACAAAAACAACCACCAGGGGCUCGGGGGCGGCGGGGGUGGGAGCGCUGGUGCUACGACUUUUAAUGAAUUACCUCUUCUAUUCGGCAGACAUCGGGAGAAGACGGUCUGGGUAAACGCAAGUAAACGGCGCAGGGCCAGAGGGCGGGGCGCAAGGUGGGGAGGAAGGGGUAGGAGGCAGCUAUUUCGUGGCCACACGGCUCCGCCCGCCCUCGAAGGACACCAGCCGUUGGGGCCCUUGGCCGCCCGGGACCGCGGCGAGCUGCUUCCCGCGCGCCGCCUCCCCGCGCCGCCACCGGCCGGUCCCCGCCUCCAGCGCGCUCCGCUCGGGGGACGGGCCGCAGACGGGGAGGCGGGGCUCCGGGCAGACGGAGGCGGAGAGGAAGCCCGCGGCGGGCGGGGGCGGGGCUCCGGGGCGGGGCGGGGCUCCGGGCGGGGGCGGGGCUAUGGCGAGGAGGCGGGGCAGACGGAGGCGGAGAGGAAGCCCGCGGCUGGGGCGGGACGGGACGGGGCGGGGCUU
rnacentral:lncRNA from 1 species